AUCAAGGGUAUGCAUAUACGAAAAGCCACGAAGUAUCUGAAAGAUGUCACUUUACAGAAACAGUGUGUACCAUUCCGACGUUACAAUGGUGGAGUUGGCAGGUGUGCGCAGGCCAAGCAGUGGGGCUGGACACAAGGUCGGUGGCCCAAAAAGAGUGCUGAAUUUUUAACAAAGCACCUAAGAUGCGCCGCCGGACCUACAGAGCUCAUGGUCGGAUUAACCCAUACAUGAGCUCUCCCUGCCACAUUGAGAUGAUCCUUACGGAAAAGGAACAGAUUGUUCCUAAACCAGAAGAGGAGGUUGCCCAGAAGAAAAGGAUAUCCCAGAAGAAACUGAAGAAACAAAAACUUAUGGCACGGGAGUAAAUUCAGCAUUAAAA
rnacentral:lncRNA from 1 species